rnacentral:lncRNA from 1 species
AAUAUCUUAAAAAGUGAAAGAGCUGAUCUUGGGUAAUUUUGACAACAAAAAUUAGUAAAUCACAGAAGAAGAGUAUCAGGAACUGGGGGCAGUAUUGGAGCCACUGCAUUAUAGCAGACACAAUUUCAGGGCCACCUGCUGGUCAUGCAGAGGUCAAUAUAAAAGGGCUCUGACAGUUUAUAGCAAGCUUGUCCAACCCAUGGCCCACAGCCCACAUAUGGCCCAGGACAACUUUGAAUGCAGCUGAAUAUGAAUUCGUAAACUUUCUUAAAACAUUAUGAUUUAUUUUAUUUUUUAGCUCAUCGGCUAUUGUUAGUAUAUUGUAUGUGUGGCCCAAGACAAUUCUUCUUCCACUGUGGCCCAGGGAAGCCAAAAGAUUGGACACCCCUGGUUUAUAAUGAUCAGAAAGAUGGGCUGUUUUUUUUUAAGGUGAAGAUAAACCUCAACUUCCAGGAAGGGAAAAAUUUAAUUAACUUAAAUAUGGGCUCAAAGGUCCAUGCCAAAACAAUGUGAUCAAUACAUAGGUUAAAAUUGUCCUAAAGAGGACUAUGGAAUGGAUUGCAACAUGGUUCAGGUCAGAUGACUUCUGGGAUUACUAGCCUGGUAGUCCAAAAAGACAUUGCAUGCUGUGAGGGAAAUAAAAACAAUAAUGCGAAAACAACGUUAAGGAUCUACUCCAAGUAUGGCCCACAAA